GAUCGCACGGUCUUGCACCGGCGACGUAUCUUUCAAGUGUCUGCCUUAUCAACUGUCGAUGGUAGGUUAUGCGCCUACCAUGGUUGUAACGGGUAACGGGGAAUCAGGGUUCGAUUCCGGAGAGGGAGCCUGAGAAACGGCUACCACAUCCAAGGAAGGCAGCAGGCGCGCAAAUUACCCACUCCCGGCACGGGGAGGUAGUGACGAAAAAUAACGAUACGGAACUCAUACGAGGCUCCGUAAUCGGAAUGAGUACACUUUAAAUCCUUUAACGAGGAUCUAUUGGAGGGCAAGUCUGGUGCCAGCAGCCGCGGUAAUUCCAGCUCCAAUAGCGUAUAUUAAAGUUGUUGUGGUUAAAAGCUCGUAGUUGGAUCUCGGGUUCGGGUGAAUGGUGCACCUUGCGGUGUUUACUAUUUAUUCGGACGAUUUUGUUGGUUCGUUCCUGGUUCCCUUAAUCGAGUGCCUUGAGUGGCCAACACGUUUACUUUGAAAAAAUUGGAGUGCUCAAAGCAGGCGCUACAGCCUGAACAUUAGUGCAUGGAAUAAUGGAAUAGGAUCUCGGUUCUAUUUCGUUGGCUUUCGGAGUCGAGGUAAUGAUUAAUAGGGACAGACGGGGGCAUUCGUACUGCGACGUUAGAGGUGAAAUUCUUGGAUCGUCGCAAGACGAACUACUGCGAAAGCAUUUGCCAAGAAUGUUUUCAUUAAUCAAGAACGAAAGUUAGAGGUUCGAAGGCGAUCAGAUACCGCCCUAGUUCUAACCAUAAACGAUGUCGACCGGCAAUCUGCUCUCGUUAAAUUAAUGACUGAGCAGGCGGCCUGCUGGAAACAAGAGUAUUUGGAUUCCAGGGGGAGUAUGGUUGCAAAGCUGAAACUUAAAAGAAUUGACGGAAGGGCACCACCAGGAGUGGAGCCUGCGGCUUAAUUUGACCCAACUCGGGAAAUCUCACCAGGCCCGGACACCGGAAGGAUUGACAGAUUGAGAGCUCUUUCUUGAUUCGGUGGGUGGUGGUGCAUGGCCGUUCUUAGUUGGUGGAGCGAUUUGUCUGGUUAAUUCCGAUAACGAACGAGACUCUGGCCUGCUAAAUAGACGUCAAAUCUUUUAUAGGUUUGUCGUAUGCUUCUUAGAGGGACGGGCGGCGUUUAGCCGCACGAGAAUGAGCAAUGACAGGUCUGUGAUGCCCUUAGAUGUUCUGGGCCGCACGCGCGCUACACUGAAGAAAUCAGCGUGUGUUCCUCAUCCGAAAGGAUUGGGUAGCCCGUUGAACCUUCUUCGUGAUGGGGAUUGGGGAUUGCAAUUAUUCCCCAUGAACGAGGAAUUCCCAGUAGGCGCGAGUCAUUAGCUUGCGUCGAUUACGUCCCUGCCCUUUGUACACACCGCCCGUCGCUACUACCGAUCGAGUGAUUUAGUGAGGACUCCGGACUGGUCUCUGAUGUAACUCUCGGGUUGUGUUGGUGUACUAGAAAGUUGUCCAAACUUGAUUACUUAGAGGAAGUAAAAGUCGUAACAAGGUU
rnacentral:rRNA from 1 species